GACGAACGCUGGCGGCGUGCUUAACACAUGCAAGUCGAACGGAAAGGCCCUGCUUUUGUGGGGUGCUCGAGUGGCGAACGGGUGAGUAACACGUGAGUAACCUGCCCUUGACUUUGGGAUAACUUCAGGAAACUGGGGCUAAUACCGGAUAGGAGCUCCUGCUGCAUGGUGGGGGUUGGAAAGUUUCGGCGGUUGGGGAUGGACUCGCGGCGUAUCAGCUUGUUGGUGGGGUAGUGGCUUACCAAGGCUUUGACGGGUAGCCGGCCUGAGAGGGUGACCGGCCACAUUGGGACUGAGAUACGGCCCAGACUCCUACGGGAGGCAGCAGUGGGGAAUAUUGCACAAUGGGCGGAAGCCUGAUGCAGCAACGCCGCGUGCGGGAUGACGGCCUUCGGGUUGUAAACCGCGUUCGCCUGUGACGAAGCGUGAGUGACGGUAAUGUGUAAAGAAGCACCGGCUAACUACGUG
rnacentral:rRNA from 1 species